AUUUGGCGGACGGGUGAGUAACGCGUGAGCAAUCUGCCUUGUACUGGGGGAUAACGUCGAGAAAUCGGCGCUAGUACCGCAUAAUACUAUUAGAUCGCAUGGUCAUAUAGUCAAAACUCCGGUGGUACAAGAUGAGCUCGCGUCCAAUUAGCUAGUUGGUGAGGUAAUGGCCCACCAAGGCGACGAUUGGUAGCCGAACUGAGAGGUUGAUCGGCCACAUUGGGACUGAGACACGGCCCAGACUCCUACGGGAGGCAGCAGUGGGGAAUAUUGCGCAAUGGAGGGAACUCUGACGCAGCAACGCCGCGUGAAGGAUAAAGGUUUUCGGAUUGUAAACUACUUUGAUCGGGGACGAAAAUGACGGUACCCGAGGAACAAGCCACGGCUAACUACGUGCCAGCAGCCGCGGUAAUAAUC
rnacentral:rRNA from 1 species